AGUCUCUAAGCAACGGAUGUCUUGGCUCCUCACACGAUGAAGAACGUGGCAUAAUGUGUUAAGUAACCGGAGUUGCAAACAUCAUGACAGGUUAAUCUUUGAAUGCAAAUUGCGCUUACCCGGCUUCGGCCGAGGAGCAUGCGUGUAACAGUACA
rnacentral:rRNA from 1 species